UCUCCGUUGGUGAACCAGCGGAGGGAUCAUUACAGAGUUGCAAAACUCCCAACCAUUGUGAACCUACCUCACUGUUGCUUCGGCGGGUGGCUCCCUCUGCGGGGCCGCGCCGGCCCCCUCCCCGGGGUCCGGCAACCCGUCAGAGGCCCGCAACUCUUCGUCAUCAUUGGCCUCUCUGAGUAACGUAUAUAAUAAGUCAAAACUUUCAACAACGGAUCUCUUGGUUCUG
rnacentral:misc_RNA from 1 species